rnacentral:lncRNA from 1 species
UUCACUAGUAGGAUAUUUUUAUUAGAGCUUCAGACAUAACCUGGGAUACACCAUGGAGCACACAACUGAAAUGCCGAUUAUGAACAUAGCACAUUUUCAAAACUGCAAGUUCCUUGACUCUAACAUGGAGAGAGACUGUUAUAGACGCCACGCAACUUAGACAGCCAAACAAUGUAUUAUUAGUGUUCACGGGUUCUGCCAUCCCCCAUGGUCUCUCGUUUACGCCACACUGCAUCUUAAAACUGUGUCCUCGUUUUCUAGGUUACGUGGGUAUGAAUAAACCCCACCGGAUGAAGCAGGUCCUUGCAGCGCACCGGUCCCUGCCCUGAGAUCCUCAUGGUGACAAAUGAAAAAGCAUGGAAUGAAACGAUCACAUCCGUGGGUUUCGAACCUCAGGUUGCAUGUCACCCACCGGCAAUGGAGCCUUUUCUAGAAACCUCAAAUAAUAGAAAAAAAAAAAAAAUCUUGCAAGCUGAAGAAGAUAAUCACACUUUCCCCCAGAUAUCCUUGGUUCCGCUGACAGGCCUAGUUUCUCCAGUAUAAAGUUUCCUAUGUGUGUAAGAAUCACCGCUACCUUUGUAACAUUUCUGUUGAGUAGGACUUCUGUGGGGUAUAAUGUCCUGAGGUCACUGCCUAAAGGCCCUGACAUGCUUGUAUGGCUCCUAUCUGACAUGAAUUCCUUCCUGAGCACAAAGGUACCCGUUUUGAUAAAGCUGGUCACAGUCAUUACCUUUGCAAGGCUUCUCUCCACUAAGAAUUCUGUUAUGUGCCGCGAGGCUUAAACUUUGGAUAACCUUUGUGAUACAGUCAUCGCACUUGUGUGGUUUCUCUCAAAGGUGUAUAUGCUGGGAGUUCCCGCUGUGGAAUCUAACUGCCAGUGGCUCGGGUUGCUGUGGAGGUGGGGCUUCGAUCCCCAGCCCGCUGCAGUGGGUUAAAGGAUCCAGCGUUGCUGCGGUGGCUCAGAUUUAAUCCCUGGUCCGGGAACUUCCAUGUGCUGUGGGUGCAACUGUAAAAUAAACAACUUAAAAAAAGAGAUGUACAUUCUGAUACCAAAGGCCUGGUAUUACAGGCUUUGUCAUACACAUAAAUUAUACAUGAUUUCUCUCCUUGACGGAAUCUGUGAUUUUAAGGCUUUAACACUUGCAUAAGUUUUAUCCCAGUCAUUGUAUUUGCAAGGUUUCCUUCUAUUAUGAAUUCUCGGAGGAUCCUCAUAGCUUCAGCUUUUACUAAGAGCAGCGCUACAUAUAUUGGGUUUGUUUGUUUGUUUAUUUAUUUUGUUUUUUGUCCUUUUAGGGCUGCACCCACGGCAUAUGGAGAGUUCCCACUGUGGCACAGCAGAAACGAAUCCAACUAGUAUCCAUGAGGACAUGGAUUCGAUCCCUGGCCUCGAUCAGGGUUAAGGAUCCGGCAUUUUCGUGAGCUGUGAUACAGGUCACAGACAGGCUCGGAUCUGGCAUUGCUGGGGCUGUGGCUGUGGCCAGCAGCGACAGCUCUGAUUCAACCCCUAGCCUGGGAACUUCCACCUGCUGUAUUUGUGGCCCUAAAAAACAAAAACAAAAAAGAGAAAGAAAAGACAGAAAAGAAAAAGGAGAAUUUUCUAUUUUCCCCAACCACGUACAGCAGUGCAUAAGGUAGAAAAAUAACAAGAGGUGGGAUCAGAUAUUGCAAGAUCUGGAGAUGGGACCUUGCACUCUGCCCACAGAUGCCAUGCUAAGAGCCUGCAAGACUGGUAUAUGCCUCACUUAGGACUGACCACGUAGGGAUCAAAGAGAAGAUCUCUCUGUCCACUGUCUACAGUUUUGCUAAGUAACAAUCACAGAUGAUCCAUCCCCCUCCCCACACCAAACUGUGUGGCAAAAAUAACCAGAAGGGCUGCGGGAUCUGAACAGGCAGACAGGGCUGGAGACAGCUCUCUGCAGGUUCUGGGGGGACAGACGGCGUCCAAGAGCAGCCCGUCCUUUCCCAUCUCCUGAUAGGUCUUCCAAGCACAGCAAAUGGAGACGGAACAGGGAAAAGUCCAGGGAGGAAGACUGUGGAGGCACAAGCUCUGAUCAAAACAGACUGAGAACCAAGCAUCUGAUGCAAUCAAGAACAGAAAGAGGGGACCAAGCGGAAAAGUGACCCGUUCGAAACAGUCCGUCCCACGCUCCUCCAAGUCAAGGAAACAAAGUGGUCGCAGGAGCCAGACAGUGGAGGGCAGAGCACGGUGACAACCGUGCCUUGGGCUCUGCUGGACCUGCAGCGCCACUGGAGGGUGAAAAGACAAAUUCUACAUGUCGAGGGAUGGAUCGGUAAGUUACAGAGAAGAAAACCUGCCUUCAAGCGUUCCCAGGAAAUAAACGUUUGUGUUCCCCUAGAAACCUGCCACUUUAGGAAAGUUUCCCCAACUCUAUGAAUGGUGUGGUUUCCCCUCUCUCUUUCUGAGCUCUGCUGGCACCUUUCAUACAUUCCCACUUGUUAGAUUUUUUUUUUUGCUAUUUUCUCUUCACUCUUCAGAGCCCCCAGCUCUUUCCCUUGCUCCAAAAUGGAGAUACCAUUCACAUCAGAAACAGAAAUUUGAGUUCCUCUUGCGGCACAGCGGAAAUGAAUCCAACUCGGAUCCCUGAGGACAUGGGUUUGAUCCCUGGCCUCGCUCAGUGGGUCACAGAUCUGGCAUUGCCAUGAGCUGUGGUGGAGGUCGCAGACGUGGCUCAGAUCCUGUGUGGCUGUGGCUGUGGUGCAGGCCGGCAGCUGUAGCUCCCAUUCGACCUCUAGCCUGGGAACCUCCAUCUGCCAUGGGUGUGGCCCUAAAAAAAAAAGAAAAAAGAAAAAAAGAAACAGGAAUUUGUACUUAUAAAAAGGGACACAGGGCCCUUGGGCAUUUCCAGAAUCCCAGCUCCCUAUCCAGCUGAGGAGCAGGACACUACAGAUGGGACUGCAAAAAUACUUCACGAGGUCAGGCACUGUCUCCUUCCUUCCAAAUGCUGAGGGGAGGGUGUAACAGGCAGAUGGCCAGCCUCUUCCAAGAACAAUGAUUCAAAAGCACAGGGGCAGAAAGUAGGGAAUUUGAUAUUUUAAGUUGGCCACUGGGCUUUGUAAAUACUUAAGCUCCGGAACAAAUGCUAGUAUAUCAUGAAGUGGGCAGAUCACCCAAAGAAGAGUGAGUUUAAACUCCUGAUGCUACAGCAUAUCUGAGUCCACAGGGCUUUGAGAUCAGUCAAGCAAGGCAGAGAGGCUCCCAAGAGGCACAAGAGGGAAAACGCAAAGAUACCCAAGGGCAGAUCCCGACUCCCGGAGGGAAGCGAUGCUCACCCAGGGAGAGCAGGUUCCUGCAGGUCUCCAGCAUCACGUCCCUGUACAAGGCCCUCUGGGCAGGGUCCAGGCAGGCCCACUCCUCCGGAGAGAACUUGAUGGCCACGUCCUCCAAGGUCAAUGGUCC